UGCGCCGUUCCCCGCCCCGCUUUCAGCGCCAGCCAAUAAGAAGGAAGGGGCGGAGUCUUUAACCAUGCCAUUGGUUCUCUCCGGCGCCUGUUACACCACCUGAGAGCAAACGGGCACGCCUACCCCCGGGGCCGAAUCAGUAGAGCACCGAGCACCUCGAUGACACCUCCGGCGCGCCAGGCCGCAGCGCCGCGCCCUCGACCCGCUAAGUCGACGUGGUCCGCGGCCCGCGGCUCCCCGCUGGCGCUCGCGUCCCGGGUCUGCAGCGCCGCGCGGAGGAGGAGCUCCAGCGACCACCGAGCACCUAGAUGCCUUUUGCUCGAGUCCAUCGCUGCUUCCUCCCAUCACUGCCUCGCACUGUGGGGCACUCACGUCGUGUCCCUCGACUGCCGGGCAGGGGCCAGGUCUAUUCGUCCUGCCAUGCGGCACGGGGAGUGGGGACAGGAAGUGUGGACCCUCAGCGAUCCGGUGUGAAACCGGGCACCCGCUUUCUGCCGGUGAAGAAAAUGAGCCGUAGAGAGCAGGCAGUAGACGUAGGGGUUGGAGUGUGAUGGGGCCAGGACUGAGUCUUGCUGAUCAAGACUUGGGGACCAUCCAGCCCCGUCUGGCGUGUGUGUGUGUGUGUGUGUGUGUGUGUGUGUGUGUGUGUGUGUGUGUGUGAGUGUGUGUGUGUGUUGAUACCGGGUGUUGAACCCUGGGGCGCUUUAACCAUUGAGCCACGCCUCCAGUUCUUUUUAAAUUAUUUUUUGAGACAGGGUCUCGCUAAAUUGCUAGCUUUUGAACUUCUGAUUCUCCUGCCUCAGCCUCCCCCCUAGUCGGUGCAAUCACAGGUAUGUGCCACCCGAUCCCGUUGUACAGAGGCCACAGGACCUAGGAAAUGGACCCCAUUAAAUGCAGAGGCAGAUACGGAACGGCAAACCUUAAGCCAAAACAUUAAAGACAUUUGGAAAAUGUCAACAGUAUUGAUCUUAGUGAAUUUCUUGUUUUAAAGAAAUUGGUUUUCUUCUGUGUGUGUGUGUGUGUGUGUGUGUGUGUGUGUGUGUGUGUUUAACUUAGGGCUGCUUUAUCACGGAGCUACACCCUAGCCCCCUUUUAUUUUUGAAACAAGUUCUUACUAAAUUGCCCAGGCUGGCCUCCAACUCCCCAUCCGCCUGCCUUAGCCUCCUGAGUUGCUGGGAUGAUAGGUGAGCAUCACCAUGAUCAGUGCCAGGAAACUGUUUUUUAAAAGUUUCUGAGUUUCAGUUUUAAAAACUGUAUAUUCUGAUAUAAUUUACUUAACAAAAACUCUUUGGGUCCUCAAUAAGUUUUAAGAGUGUGAAGUGGUACUAAGACCAAGAAGUUUGAGAACCACUGUCUAGCUCAACUCAACUUAUAUCUGAGAGAUGACUCGCUGAGUCCCGUGGUGACAGAGCUACUGGAGAACAGCCUCUUGGAGACAGCUUGCUCUCCAAGGUUCCCUUCAUUCACAUCUGGUUUUCAGACACAGAUGCAUGUGGUAGGGCAGUAAGUUCUCACAGAUGUCAGAUCAGAUGCUGGGCUUUAGUUCUUGGAGACUGCCUGAUAAAGAGGGGAAAGAAUGGGUUUGGGUUCACGCUGAUAGCUCAUUCUGCUUCCAUUCAUUUCAUAUAUGUAUAUUUAGUUGUUGAUAAACCUUUAUUUUAUUUAUUUAUAUGUGUGCUGAGAACCAAACCUAGUGCCUCACACAUGCCAGGUAAGUGUGCUACUGCUGAGCCACAGCCCCAGCCCUCCAUUCAUUUCUAGCUGUGGGAUUUGGGAAAGUUUUUGAAAGUUUGUUUUGUUGGUGCUGGGGAUUGACCCAGGUUACUGUACCACUGAGCUUCAUCCCCAGGGGCAAAUUAUCGAGUCCUUCAGUAAGAGAAAUGAUACAACCUCACAUGGUAGCUAGAAGUUUAAAUUAAGCAAAUGGGAACUUGUGCCUGGCAUUUGGUACUUGUGUAUUAGCUUCUAUUGUUGAGGCCCAGAGCACCAGACCCUCCAAAUCCGGCACCUUGGUGUGCUGAAUACUUUGGACUGAAGAAACCAAAAAGGCCUGAUCAAGGUCUUUCUGACCUCAGGUCUUCCUGUCUCAGCUCUCUUACUCCUUUGGAGGGAAUUCUGCAAACCAGAAUUCCUCUUCCCUAAAAUGGGUCAUAGAGACUAGAACCCCACUUCCCUAAAGCCAGCCAUAAAAUCCUAGAAAUAUUACUCAAAUCUACUUUUUUUUUUUUUGGUGUUUUGGGAAUUGAACUCACACAUGCUAGGCAAGCACUGUACCACUCAAGUACCCCCCCAAGCCUGGUUCUCCUACCUUUUGGGGCAGGAACUGCCCAUAAAGGAAUUCCACAGCCUACCUUGUCUGUGGUAGGGUUCCAGAGGGGUCCUGACCCAUCCCUGGGGAAAGAAGGAGUGCUGUGCAGAGAAGCCUAGAAAGAAGCUGGGCAGGAAUUGCUGAGUCCCCUCUCAGUCUGUCACCACUAGGUUAGACUCUCUGUGCAACCACUUUUCUUCUUGGCUGUCCAUUCCUCACUGGACCUAAGCAUAAAAAUAACCAGUUUUCCAGGGUCUUUGGAAUCUUCAUUUCUGAAGGCUCCUGUGUUGUGUAAAACUUGGCUUAAAUAAAUCUGUUAUGCUUUUGUCUUGUUAACCAGUGAUUCGUUACAGGAGGUAUUCGCUGUGACCCUCAUGGUGGGUGAGGAGAGGGACCAUCCUUUCUUAUCUCCAUUCUCUUUUUUAAUGGAUAGUACUCAGAAUGAAGGGACAUAUGCUGGUACAUGCCAUCAAUCCCAGGGACUCCGGAGGCUGAGGCAGGAGGAUGACAAGUUUGAGGCCAGCUUCAGCAACUUAGUGAGACCCUGUCUCAGACUAAAGAUAAAUAAAUAAAAAGUGCUGGGGAUUUAGCUCAGUGAGGGAGUGCCCAGCUCCCUGGUACCACACACGCAAAAAAAAAAAAAAAAAAAAAAAAAAUAGAGGAGUCACAAAUUACAUUGGGAAGAAAAUUCUCCCAGCUUUCUUUGAAACCUUCCUAAGAGGUAAAAGCAUGGCUCUCCUAAGUGGUUCCCAGAGCUUGUCCUGAGCUGGGGACACAUGGAAAAAACAACAUUCCCAUUUGAUGAUGGCAGAGCCAGGCACACCUCACCCCCCAUCACUGCCUCUCCCCUCACUGCCACUUCUGCAUUCCCUUGGGAGUGGGGUGUCCAGCAUGUCCUGUUACAAAUAUCCAUGUUUUUUAGUUUGUUUGCUUUCAGAUGGGAUCUGGCAGUGUUGCCCAGGCUGGCCUGGAACCCCUGGGCUCCACAGAUUGCCUCCGCCUCCUGAGUCACUGGGACUACAGGCAUGCACCACCACUCAGUUAUUGCUUUGUUUUCUAGAGCAUUCCAGUACAAUGACUGGGACCACGGGCCUCCGUCUGGGCUUAUGUCCCAGGGGUGAGAUGCAGCCAAGGUGGAGGAGCAGCCCUGUCUUUGCUCGAGCCCCACAUGGUGGUCUGCGGGUGACUGACCACUCUGCAAGAUCAGCUGUGCAGCGCCUCUUCACCAGACACACCAGUGAGGCAAGGACUCGCCUGCCUCCCCCUCUCCCUGCAGUCCACUAGGUUCCAGAGACUGCUUUCUGGCUCCAGAACUGGGCCUGGGGUUCUGACACAUGAUUUUACUUGUGUCACCUCUCUGGCUCCUUCCAGCUUGCCCUUUCAGCUCACAGGAGGUGUCCCCUCUUCCUGGCUGGCAUCCUUAGCAUGGUGCUGGUCACUGCUGGCUUCUGCUCUGAUUCCCAUUAGACCAUUCAGUGUGAGAGGCCAGUGGCGUGUCUGCGUGUUCAGUGUGUUUCUCUCCUCCUCCAUAGGCCUUGUGCACGGCAGGCAGCACUACCUGUUGCUGGUGAAUGGCUGGUUGACACUGGCUUUUUAAAGGGGGAAUUACUGGAACUGGGCUGGAGCUCAGGGAUAGAGUGCUUGUUCAGCCCCUGCAGAGGCCCUGGAGUCAAUCCUCAGCAUGUUAAAAAAAAAAAAAAGGGACAGAAAGGGGCACUAACUAUUCAAUUCCAUUUGGUGAAAGUGGUCUUAGUUGUACCUCCGUCUCCUUGUGUACCUAUGAAUAACAAUUUCUUUCAUUCUAAAAACUGUUCUGCUUGGAUGAUAAAUUAUAUUGGUGUCCUACUUUGAUACCAUAUGUCCUGGGGUUGGGGACUUGGUGGAGAGUGCUUGCUUAGCACACACAAAGCCCUGAGUUUAGUCCUUGGCCCCGGGAAAAGAAAAACAAACAAAUAAAAACCCACCCUGUGUCCCAACGUCAGAUUUCUUUUUAGAAAAUAUAUUUAUGGAGGUGUCAACUAAUUGCUAUAUCAUCGUAUGCUGUAAGUAUAGGCUGGAGUCGGCUUUCUGUGGCCCUGUAGGCCUCACCAUAAUCCAGCUUCAGUGCACUCCCGCUGCCCAGGUUUCCUCACCUGUUAGCUCCCUGCCCAGUCCCAGGCAACCUCUGAUCCACUUUGUUGUAUAGUAGAAUCUUCCCCUGCCUUUCUGACAGGUAAGCCCCUGGAGACAGCAAUGUUUGCAGAGGGACCAAGAUGAUCUCAACAGGAUCUUACCAAGUUGCUGAAGCUGGCCUCAAACUCACAGUGCUCCCUGGCAGAGGCACUCCUGAGGCUCCAUUCUAGACCCUUCUCUAGGUUUGGAAUGAGACCUCAGACCUGGGUAGGCCAGUUGCCUUCUCCUCCUCAGGACCUCUGCUGCCUUCAGGGAUCACACUGGACUGACAUCACCUGGAAGAUCAUGAAACAGGCCGUCCCAGGCCCUACCAAGACCACCUCAAUCAGAAUCUGCAUUUUGGCACGGUGAUCCCAGGUGAUUCAGAGGUGUUACUCCAAAUCCUUGAAAACUGAGUUUCAGUAUCAGAAAACCCAUUUUCCCUCAGACAUAAGUUGCAUCCUCUAAUAGCAGUUUUAUCACUAAUAAAGGUGAUAUUUUGGUCUCCAA